rnacentral:rRNA from 1 species
GACGAACGCUGGCGGCGUGCUUAACACAUGCAAGUCGAACGGUGAACCAGGGCUUGCCCUGGGGAUCAGUGGCGAACGGGUGAGUAACACGUGGGCAACCUGCCCCUGACUCUGGGAUAACUCCUCGAAAGAGGUGCUAAUACCGGAUACGACCACUUCGGGCAUCCGAUGGUGGUGGAAAGAAUUUUGGUCAGGGAUGGGCCCGCGGCCUAUCAGCUUGUUGGUGGGGUAACGGCCCACCAAGGCGACGACGGGUAGCCGGCCUGAGAGGGCGACCGGCCACACUGGGACUGAGACACGGCCCAGACUCCUACGGGAGGCAGCAGUGGGGAAUAUUGCGCAAUGGGCGAAAGCCUGACGCAGCGACGCCGCGUGAGGGACGACGGCCUUCGGGUUGUAAACCGUCUUUCAGCAGGACGAAGCGAAAGUGACGGUACCUGCAGAAGAAGCACCGGCUAACUACGUGCCAGCAGCCGCGGUAAU